rnacentral:lncRNA from 1 species
UCACAUACUUUUUUUUGCAACUGUAAAUACCUAUAAAUCUCAGUUCUGUUCUGUGUGCUGAAUAUAAGUUUCCUCCUGUUUCUGCUCAGUGGAGGAGCAGCUCUUCCGGUCGGUGGAGGGUCAGGCGGCGUCUGAUGAAGAGGAGGAGCGCUGGACGGGGGAGCAGCAGAGGCAGGUGGACGAGGUGAAGAAGAUACUGACCAGACUCUCCUGCUGUGGAGACAGGUGUGAUGAUAGAGCUCUGAAGAGGCUGCUGUCUCACUGUGGAGACUCGCGAGCGGAGGAGAGCUACACCGCAGUUCUGGAGCUUCUGGAUCGAGUGACCCGCCUCCACAAACAGCUGGAGCUCAGAGAGAACCAGGCCAUGAGGAACCGGCCCGACCCAGAGCAGGUACCCUACCGCCACCUGCUGACAUAAAGCUUCAUAACACAUUCAUAAGCAUUUAAUAAUGCAAUAUUUAUAAAAAAAAAAUCUAUUGCAAAAACUGCAAAAACGAAGAUAUAUGUGUCUUAUAAACACAUCCUAUAACAGUGUUAUUAACCUAGAGUCUUAAAGGGAAUGAUAAAGAGAGACACUCUGAUUGGUUUAUUAUUUCACGUUGCGCCCAAAAUUAACCACACCCAUGAUUAAUUAAGAGAAUUAGUACAUGACUUUUGCUCUGCGUUUUGAUCUGCGCAAGCUGUACUUUUCCCGUCGUUACGAUAGCAAAGACACUCCCAAGCACUGACACGCCCUAAAUCAAGCUGCACAAAUAAAG